UACGUAGGUGGCAAGCGUUGUCCGGAAUUAUUGGGCGUAAAGCGCGCGCAGGCGGUCCUUUAAGUCUGAUGUGAAAGCCCACGGCUCAACCGUGGAGGGUCAUUGGAAACUGGGGGACUUGAGUGCAGGAGAGAAGAGUGGAAUUCCACGUGUAGCGGUGAAAUGCGUAGAGAUGUGGAGGAACACCAGUGGCGAAGGCGGCGUCUGGACUGCAACUGACACUGAGGAACGAAAGCCAGGGGAGCAAACGGG
rnacentral:rRNA from 1 species